AGUUCGGAUUGUAGUCUGCAACCCGACUACAUGAAGCCGGAAUCGCUAGUAAUCGCGGAUCAGAAUGCCGCGGUGAAUACGUUCCCGGGUCUUGUACACACCGCCCGUCACACCAUGGGAGUCGGAAAUGCCCGAAGUCUGUGACCCAACCGUAAGGAGGGAGCAGCCGAAGGCAGGUCGGAUGACUGGGGUGAAGUCGUAACAAGGUAUC
rnacentral:rRNA from 1 species